rnacentral:rRNA from 1 species
GAAAGCAUGGGGAGCGAACAGGAUUAGAUACCCUGGUAGUCCAUGCCGUAAACGUUGGGAACUAGAUGUAGGGCCUGUUCCACGGGUUCUGUGUCGUAGCUAACGCAUUAAGUUCCCCGCCUGGGGAGUACGGCCCGCAAGGCUAAAACUCAAAGGAAUUGACGGGGGCCCGCACAAGCGGCGGAGCAUGCGGAUUAAUUCGAUGCAACGCGAAGAACCUUACCAAGGCUUGACAUAGCCGAGAACGCUGUAGAGAUACAGAACUCUUUGGACACUCGGUUACAGGUGGUGCAUGGUUGUCGUCAGCUCGUGUCGUGAGAUGUUCGGUUAAGUCCGGCAACGAGCGCAACCCUCGUCCUAUGUUGCCAGCACGUUAUGGUGGGAACUCAUGGGAUACUGCCGUGGUCAACACGGAGGAAGGUGGGGAUGACGUCAAGUCAUCAUGCCCCUUAUGUCUUGGGCUUCACGCAUGCUACAAUGGCCGAUACAAAGGGCUGCGAUACCGCGAGGUGGAGCGAAUCCCAAAAAGUCGGUCUCAGUUCGGAUUGGGGUCUGCAACUCGACCCCAUGAAGUCGGAGUCGCUAGUAAUCGCAGAUCAGCAACGCUGCGGUGAAUACGUUCCCGGGCCUUGUACACACCGCCCGUCAAGUCAUGAAAGUCGGUAACACCCGAAGCCGGUGGCCUAACCCUUGUGGAGGGAGCCGUCGAAGGUGGGACUGGUGAUUAGGACU